UUUUUUUUUGAGAAGGAGGAAUAAAUAAGGAAGGAUUGUAUAAUUAUUUUGGAUUACUUAGUUAAUAAAAAUAAUAGAAAUUUUUAACCUAGGCUCACUCAACUCAACCACCCCCAUUGAAGCCCACAAACAUCAAAGCCUGCAAGAACGCAUAAUGUCUUUCUUCAGUGCCUUCUCGCCGAUUCUGUUUAAUCAUUUAGUUGUGAAACGAAGGAAUAUGUAGGAAAAGAAGGGACUUGAAAAGGAAACAAAUCAAUAAGUAAAAGAGAUCUGAAACUAUCAUCAUCGUCGUUGCUUGAGUCAAGGUAUAUGACAAAGGCAGCUGGUUCGUUUCUUCCAAAGAUAUUCCCAAGUUUCGUAGAAGUGUAAUUCUUUCUAGCAUGUUUCCUUCUCGAAUACGCUAUCAGGAUAUGGGUGAAAGUAACUUUACUGCUGACACAAGAGCCUGAAGUUUCAACACCAAAUGAGCCUGAAUUUAAAUUUAAUUUACUGAUAUUAAUAAUUUAGAAUUACAAUUAGGGAGACAAAAUAAGUUUAAUUAAUAAAUAAUAAUAAGUUUUAGUGACAGACAUACCGUAGGAAUAGAUUGAUAUUUUUUUUAUAUUUUUCUAAGAUUUAGUGACAGAUAAUACUGUAGGAAUGGACUAAUUCUUUAUUUAUAUUUAUCUAGGUUUUAGUGACAGUCAUUAUUGUAGGUAGAAAUAAAAAACAUAUAGUGACAAUCCUCAGAACAUGUAGUGACAGCCUUCAAAGUGUAGCAGGACGCCCCCUUAAAGUUGACACUAGAUUUGGGUGUCACUCAAAGUAUUAUUGACUUUUACCUACAGUUUUUAACUUUUAGUGAAACAUUUUGUGUGUCACGAUAGGUCAA